GACGUAGGGCGCGAGCGUUGUCCGGAUUUAUUGGGCGUAAAGAGCUCGUAGGCGGCUUGUCGCGUCGUCCGUGAAAACUCACAGCUUAACUGUGAGCUUGCGGUCGAUACGGGCAGGCUAGAGUUCGGUAGGGGAGACUGGAAUUCCUGGUGUAGCGGUGAAAUGCGCAGAUAUCAGGAGGAACACCGGUGGCGAAGGCGGGUCUCUGGGCCGAUACUGACGCUGAGGAGCGAAAGCGUGGGGAGCAAACAGG
rnacentral:rRNA from 1 species